CCCAAGCUACGAAGGGCCAACGGCGGAUGCCUUGGCGACAGGAACCGAUGAAGGACGUGGGAGGCUGCGAUAAGCCACGGGUAGGUGCCGACCAACCGUCGAUCCGUGGAUGUCCGAAUGGGGAAACCCGG
rnacentral:rRNA from 1 species